AUACGUAGGGUGCAAGCGUUAAUCGGAAUUACUGGGCGUAAAGCGUGCGCAGGCGGUUUUGUAAGACAGAGGUGAAAUCCCCGGGCUCAACCUGGGAACUGCCUUUGUGACUGCAAGGCUAGAGUACGGCAGAGGGGGAUGGAAUUCCGCGUGUAGCAGGGAAAUGCGUAGAUAUGCGGAGGAACACCGAUGGCGAAGGCAAUCCCCUGGGCCUGUACUGACGCUCAUGCACGAAAGCGUGGGGAGCAAACAGGAUUAGAUACCCUGGUAGUCCACGCCCUAAACGAUGUCAACUGGUUGUUGGGUCUUCAUUGACUCAGUAACGAAGCUAACGCGUGAAGUUGACCGCCUGAGGAGUACGGCCGCAAGGUUGAAACUCAAAUGAAUUGACGGGG
rnacentral:rRNA from 1 species